GUGCCCCCUUCAGCAGCACGUGUAACAAAUUUGGGUCUAUCACAGAAGAUUAGCAUGGUUCCUGCACAAUAAUGACUCAAAAUACGUGAAGCGGUUCAUAUUUUU